AAAUACAAUAGGUAACAAAACUCAAACGUAAAUGUAGUCUGGUAAAAAAUUAAAUGGGAGAUUAACUGUGAUGGGUAAGAAAUUAGGUGUUAUUACCAGAACACGACAGAACUUUUUUUAAUUACUGUUAUAUUUUCGAGUUUUUUUUAUUACCCAGCGUGCCCCUACUAAACGUUACCGGAAAAAACGUAAUUACAGGGAAUGCCACUGCCACGUCAGAAUUUGCUGACGUGGAUUAAAUGAACUCAGCCGGCUGAGUUACGGUAUGUUGCGGCUGACUUACGUCAAAAAUAUAUGAGUCAUAACAAAACGGCGAAGUAUGAGUAUAACUCAGCCAGACGUUACGGCUGAGUUGUAAAAUGUUGCCUGAGUUAUUGUAUAACUCAGGCAACGGUAUGGUUGAGUUAAGGAUGGUCGGCCGAGUUAUAAGAAGUUAUACAAUAACCCAGCCAACAAUAUGGCUGAGUUAUGAGAAAAAGGCUGACUUAUUUCCUCGACGCGGCCGAGUUAUAGUUUUGAUCGGCUUAGUUAUGGAAAGAUGUUACGGCUGAGUUAUUGUCGAGUGAAAUAAAUCAGCCGCCAAUAGCUGGUUUACGAUAUAACUCAGCCAUGUUAUGGCUGACUUAUUGUUAAAAGAUUAAUUACUAUAAUAUCAUGCAGUUAUGGCCGAGUUGUUGAACGUUACGGUUGAGUUAGUUGAGUUACGACAUACCACGGCUGAAUUAACUUUGUUUUUUUUCCUGUUUUAAUUACUGUAAUAGUAUUCAUGUUGCGGCUGACUUAAAGAUUUGCUUCAUGGCUGUGUUAUGAAAUGUUCGUUUGGUGGCUGACUUGCCACGUCAUCACUUCAAAACGGCGUCGGCUGUAAUAAUCCAUGUCAUCAUUCCAUGUCAGCAUCCUCGACGGAAAUACGAAAAGUCUCUUGCUUUAAAUCGUUUUCCCAGAUUGUGUCCACCGCCUGAACGUUACAACAUCACCGGAACUUUCUUUUCUUCAUUCAUCUUCUCAUACAUCUUCAAUUUCUUUCAUCUUUCUCUUGAUAUGGCUGGUCCCGCUACGGUCAUAGUUGUUUCCGGUUCGUGGGUAAAGAAACAGAGAUUCGUAUUUAACCCCGACGAAAGAGGGUGUAGAGUUGUGCAGCUAGAAGCGGAAAGAGCAGUUUACGAUAGUCUUUUCAAGACGGUGAUCGAUGAUUACGGAGUGAAUCAGUCGACCCAUCAGUUACGGCUGAGUUACAUGUUCUCCAACAAGACUCUGAAAACUAUGCCCUUCGAUACUCCACCAGUUUAUAUCUCCAAUGAUCGACAGUUGCAAUGUUAUCUAGGUUUGACGAAAUUCGAGCAGCUACGUCUCUGUGUGGAGUUUACGGCGAAAGAUUCAAGUGAUAUUAGUCGGAAGGACGGAUCAAGAGGAAGGGGUUCGAAACGCCCUAUUGAAUCUGACUCAAGAGCAGAAUCUAGAUUCGAAGUUCCGGGUCGGGGGUUUGAAGGUGUCUGUUACGAUUAUCAAGACGAUGAAGCAGGGGACGAUGAAGCAGGGGACGAUGAAUCAGGUGUCGAUGAAGCAUCUGACAAAGAAGCAAGUGACGAAGAAGCAGAUGAUGAAUUUUCUAGCCGGUUUGAUUUUUUCGACGACUCCGAUGGUGCCUCAUCUGAUGAUGAAGACUUUGCUAUAUACGGCGAGCCUAAUAAUAAUGACGAAGAUUCAUCGAAACCUUCUCCUUCGAAGAGAUCUCAGACCAUGGAAUUGAUCGGAUCUGCUGGGAGCCUGACUGAUUUAAAGUUGGAGCUGUCUACGCUAACACUCGCGGUAGGCCAAAAAUAUCGUAGCAAAUUCGAGUUGGAGUAUCGACUCAAACUUCUUGCGAUAAGGGAUGGGUUUGAUUUUGAUGUACCAACUUCUAAUAAGACUACAGUUAUCUUACGAGUGCUGGGUGGAUAGAUGUCUUUGGAGGGUUCGUGCAUCUAGACAAGGAAAUG
rnacentral:sRNA from 1 species